AGUAUAUGUUAGUUUUUCAUUAGGAUGUC
rnacentral:sRNA from 1 species